rnacentral:rRNA from 1 species
GGACUACUCGGGUAUCUAAUCCUGUUUGCUCCCCACGCUUUCGCGCCUCAGCGUCAGUUGUGGUCCAGUUGGCCGCCUUCGCCACCGGUGUUCUUCCCAAUAUCUACGAAUUUCACCUCUACACUGGGAAUUCCACCAACCUCUCCCACACUCAAGCCUCGCAGUAUCAAGCGCACAUCCUAGGUUAAGCCCAGGGCUUUCACGCCUGACUAACAAGACCGCCUACGCGCCCUUUACGCCCAGUAAUUCCGAACAACGCUUGCCCCCUUCGUCUUACCGCGGCUGCUGGCAC